AUGCCUUCAGAUAAGUGAUGUAACCGUAGUAUGAUGACUUUCGCUUUACCAAUUUCGGCAUCAGCUUUUGUCCCACAUCGACAGUAUUCAAGAAGAUGCUUCUCUUUAUAACAUCCAUGAGUUUAGUAGGAAACAAACAGCCGGUCUUAGUAACGUAGGCCUAUAACCCAAGUGGGGGCAUUAAAGUUAUCGAAUAGGUUGUUGAAAAAAAAAACUAAAAAACGAAAACUAAAGAAAAAAUUUCCACGUUUCCACACAGAAAAGACAAAAAAAAAUUAAAAAUUAAAAAUCACAACAACCUAGACGAUACCUU
rnacentral:lncRNA from 1 species